rnacentral:ncRNA from 1 species
GAGCGAAAAACACGGCCCGGUUGGUAGUCCGGGCGCGGUGCGCGCACCGUCAGUAACCUGCCUCCUUUGGUUGUCCGCGCUCCGU